rnacentral:rRNA from 1 species
CGUUCAGGGGUAAACCUGCGAAACUCGAAUGAACGAACGGGGAGAUUCAUCGUCAUUCCGCCGGAGCUGCGGCGGCGAUUCGAUGCGGCUGGCGGCGUGCGUUCGCGCGCGUCCUUCAGUCGCACGUUCGCCGUCCGUACGCGUCCGCGGACGGCGUGCACUUCUCCCUUAGUAAGACAUCGCGACCCGUUCGACGUCGGCCUAAGCGCCGCCGCGGAGCUCCGGCUGCACCUCGCCGUGCGGCCGGAACGCGGCGGACGCCGGUCGGCCGUCGGACGGUAGCCAACGUGAAACGCGCACGCGCUCGUCGCGUCCGGCCCGACGCAAGGCGUCGCCGUAUCCGAAGUCCUGCCCCAGUUGCGGUCUUCGGUGCGGCGCGCCUGCCCGUCGCUGCCGUGCAGUCUCGGACCGUGCGCGUCUCGGUCGGCGGUGAUUUCGUUUCGGGCACUCGCAGGACCCGUCUUGAAACACGGACCAAGGAGUCUAGCAUGUGUGCGAGUCAUUGAGAUUUAUAAAACUGAAAGGCGCAACGAAAGUGAAGGCGCGCGCUGGUCGCGCGCUCGGGGAGGAUGGAGGUCGAUCUCGCGUCGGCCUCUCGCACUCCCGAGGCGUCUCGUUCGCAAUCCGUCGAUGCAGGCGCGCUCAGAGCACAAAUGCUGGGACCCGAAAGAUGGUGAACUAUGCCUGGUCAGGUCGAAGUCAGGGGAAACCCUGAUGGAGGACCGUAGCGAUUCUGACGUGCAAAUCGAUCGUCGGAACUGGGUAUAGGGGCGAAAGACUAAUCGAACCAUC